GAAAAGUUGUUUGCAGCAUUAAAAUUGGUCUCAGCUCCCCAGUCCAUGGGCACAGAGUGUCAAAUUCUAUGAAGACCUGGUCCUCAAGGAUUGUCUGUCCCACCAUGGGCUGUGGCCUCUCCAUGCUGUGUUGUUUCUUCAGCCUUGUGUCUCCACUGGGCUCAGCUGCUAAAAGGCUCUUGCUCUGCAAAAAGGCUGCUUAUACUCAUGGUCCUGUUGAUGUGGAUAUGCAACCACCAACUCUCCAAAACCCCAGGGAGAACCUUUUUUAGGAGGACCUGAGCAAAAUACAGCCCUCCUACAACUGCAGCCUCAAUGGUGGCCAGCAGACUACCCAGGACGAGAGCUGAUUUCCAAUGGCCUCAUUAUGUUGCCUUGGGGACAGAGAAGGGAGCACAGAGGAGACAGCCCCAAGCGCUACAGCUGGGCUAUGAGGGGGUCCCAUUUGUCUCAGAGAGGAUACCCCACCCCUCUGCAUCACAGAGGUGUCUGAGCCGGUCUGGGGUCCUUCUUCCCCUGAAGAGCAGCCACUGACAACAUCUGCUGCCCCUCCAGGGGCAAAGGUGGGUGUUCAGGUGAGUGGGCUCAGCCUCCCAUUCUCCUCUCCUAGAGCCAC